rnacentral:rRNA from 1 species
UACAGAGGUCUCAAGCGUUGUUCGGAUUCAUUGGCGUAAAGGGUGUGUAGGUGGCGCCGUAAGUCGGGUGUGAAAUUUCGGAGCUUAACUCCGAAACUGCAUUCGAUACUGCGGUGCUUGAGGACUGGAGAGGAGACUGGAAUUCAUGGCGUAGCAGUGAAAUGCGUAGAGAUCAUGAGGAAGACCAGUGGCGAAGGCGGGUCUCUGGACAGUUCCUGACGCUGAGGCACGAAGGCCAGGGGGAGCAAACGGG